ensembl:lincRNA Gm13844 predicted gene 13844
AAGGUCCCACCCAGAUUGUGGGCUAAGCCUCCCCUCUCAUGACCCUCAACUGAAAUCACGACUUUUGCCAUGGAAUGCAGAGAUGAGAUCCUGGGGCAGCGGCGAGUUGAGAGGAAAAGGGAAGCAGAAGAAGACAAGGUCUGCCAGAGAGACAGACGGACACAGUAGAAUUCAAAUCCAACCAUACCCCACGGCAAUUAACAUUUAAAACACAAGCGAACCCAGAGGGCAGAAGAGGAAAUGCUGAUAAAUGAAUCUGGGAAAGACAUUUAAAACUUUUAUAUGGUGCGGAUGAAGAUGAUGGCAGUGAGCAGCCGCAGACAGACACUGCAAGACUGAACAAAUACUUCACAUACUACAAAUAAGAAUGGUGUUGGGUAGGACGGUGUACACCUUUGAUCCCAGCACUUGGAGGAGGUAGAGGCGGGUGGACCUCCCAGUUCCAGGUUAGCCAGGGCUACACCUUGAGAACCAGUUUCACAAAACAACGACGACAGGCCAAACAAACCCAAAGUAGGAACGGUCAAAAUUACUUGGAGAAAACGUUCACCUUCAUAGUGCUUAAAAAGAUGAAACCAUGA